UUACGGCCAUAUCACGUUGAAACAUCGAUUCUCGUACGAUCACCGAAGUUAAGCAAUAUCGAGCUUGGUCAGUACCUAGAUGGUUGACCGCUUGGGAAUACCAGGUGCUGU
rnacentral:rRNA from 1 species